rnacentral:lncRNA from 1 species
UAAGGAUACGUGUAAAAGUGGCCAAAAUAAGUCAGAUUGAGGUGAACUGCCGCUGUGGGCGACGGAGUUGGCGCUGGAGCACGGCGGCGCCCGCUAUGUCGGAACUCCAAAGUUGGCUAGAAAGAGUUUUGGAUUCUGAUUUUGAAUUUUUAGGGUAUUCUUAUGUAUAUGACGAAUGUUUUAGAUUCUGCAAUAAAAAUUCAAGAAAUUCAAUACCCGUUAGGAGGCGUGGUAGACAACGUGACGUUUCAAAAAUAU